UACGAAGGGGACUAGCGUUGUUCGGAAUCACUGGGCGUAAAGCGCACGUAGGUGGAUUGUAAGUCAGGGGUGAAAUCCCGGGGCUCAACCUCGGAACUGCCUUUGAUACUGCAAGUCUUGAGUCCGAUAGAGGUGGGUGGAAUUCCUAGUGUAGAGGUGAAAUUCGUAGAUAUUAGGAAGAACACCGGUGGCGAAAGGCGGCCCACUGGAUCGGUACUGACACUGAGGUGCGAAAGCGUGGGGAGCAAAC
rnacentral:rRNA from 1 species